rnacentral:lncRNA from 1 species
AUUUUAAAAUGCGAUAUCCCAGGACAAUGUAUCGCCGACCCUUUCAAUUAUUAUGCACAUGCGGAAGCAGUUAUAAAUCCCCAAACAAUAAAACAAUGGGAUAAAAAAACAGGGCCAUAUUUUUCAUAUUGAAACUUAUAACCAAACUUUUAUACAUGACAUAAACUAGAGUAAUUCACAACUCUUCAUAACUUUUUACUUUACUCUAUUCACAUCAAAAUGGCGCUCUCAAAAUAAGAUGGAGUCUCAAUCCAUCUAGGUCGUACUCAAGAUCUCUCUCGGUAUUAUCUUCUUCUUCCAAAAAUCAUUCUCCUCAGGUUUCACCUCCGAGUUCUCCUUCUCAGACUCCUCCUCUUCAGCUUCUCACCGGGGUCCUGAAAUGUUUUACCCAAACUGGGAUGAGACUACGUCUCAGCGAGUUCUACCCCACUAAGCCCGAUUAGUAAACAAUUAUACUAUAGACUGCCUAAACACGCACAGGGCAGAUGACUUACCUUGGCCUCAGAUCCCACCUGCAAGUCAGUACAAUUCACAAUAGGCACCCAAGUAAUCAUAUCACAGAGUGAAGCAUCGAUCAAAUCGACCUAGUCGAUUAUAUGCCAACAAGACCACUCACAGUUAUUUCCAAUCAGUCAAUCAAUCCACAACAUCAAAUCAAAGCAAUGAUCAAUCGACUUAGUCGAUUUCAUGACAGCCUGACCAUUUCACAGUCAUUCAAGCUAUUGCUAUUCAGUCUCAAUUGAUAAAACCAAUCACCGAGUCACGUGCAUUCUCCGAGGCGAUAUCCCUUAUCACCGAGCCACGUGCAUUCUCCGAGGUGAUGGAACCGAUCAUCGAGCCAUGUGCAUUCUCCGAGGUAAUGCAUUAAUUUACCGAGCCCACGUGCCCUUUAAAAUGCCAUUCUGAAUCAGCGAGCCCACAUGCAUUCUCCAAGGCGAUGCAUCAAGUCACCGAGCCCACGUGUCUCUUAAAGAUGCCAAAUGUACUCAUUGAGACCACGUGCAUUCUCCGAGGUAAUGCAUCAAAUUACCGAGCCCACGUGUCUCUUUCAAGAUGCCACACUUAAUCACCAAGCCACAUGCAUUCUCCAAUGCGACAUACUUCGUCACCGAGCCAUGUGCAUUCUCCGAGGUGAUAUAUCUAAUCAUCAAGCCCCGUGCAUUUUCCAAGGCGACGUACUAAUUAUCGAGCCAUGUGCAUUCUCCGAAGCGAUAUACCAAAUCACCGAGCCACGUGCAUUCUCCGAGAUGAUGUACUACUCACCGAGCCACGUGCCUUUCAUGAUGAUUCAUCCCAUUUCUAAAGUAAUUAUCUACAACCUUAAUUCGUACUCAAUUUACCCAAAUAAUCAAUUUAGGAACAUAUCCUAAAUAUCCACAAUUAAAUCAAUUCAGCACAAUUCAAAGCUCAAAUAAAUAAACGGACUGCGCCACGACAAUCGGCACGAGAUUUCGGUCGUCGGCUAUCUCAAACUUAAUUUCCGAAAAAUAAUAAAUUAAUUAAUUAAUUUCGAAAAUUAAUUAAUAAACAUUAAAAAUUCCAUUUAGCUCAAAAUAAGGCCCAAUUAAAUAAACGGACUUCACCACGAUCAUCAGCAUAGUAUUCCGGUCACGGGCCAUCUCAGUUGAAUUUUCAGAAAAUAAAUAAUUAUUUAAAUUAAUUCCGAAAAUUAAUAUUUAAAUACUAAAAAUUUCACUUAGGCCCAAAAAGCCUAAUUGAAGCCCACUAAGGGUCAGGAAAAAAUCCCGAGACACUUCCAAUAAAUAGUAGACCACGUCUACUUGCUAAUUACAUAUUCAAUUUGUCUAAUUCGCAUCACAAUUAGCUAAUAAACACUAAUCCAUACUAAUCUAACCACCUAAUUGCAUUUAAUUAAAACUAAACCAACCUUAAGCAUAAUUAGCCAACUAAUCCGGAAUUAGUGAGAUUACUCACCGGAAUCGCUCGCAAAUCGGAUCAAUCCGACGGAGGCGACGCGAGGAACAACAAACUCCAAAGCGGGCCUCGGGUUCGGGAUCCGGAAACGGCCCAAAAGCGGGCCUAAAGCCGCUGGAAACCCACCGACCAGUAGCCGAUCUAGGUUGGCCGGAGCUGGUUCGGUGGCUGAGGCGACGAGGGGAGGCCGGCGGAGGGCGAGGGAAACGUCGGGGAGGUUCAGCGGUGCUGGGCGGUGGCUGGAGGCGGCUGGACGGGGCGGAACCGAGCUGAACAGGGGUCGAACAGGGCUGUCUCACGCAGGGAAGGGGCGCCUGGGCGGAGGAGAGGGCAGGCGGCGCACGGCGGCGAGCGGCGGACGCGGGGCGUGCGAGCGCGGGCGGCGGGACGUGCGGCGACGGCGAGCUGCAACGUCUGCUCUUCUUCUGUCUUCGUUCGUUGGAAUGCGCGAAAGGGGGGAGAGAGCGUGCGAAGGAGAGAGAGAGAGAGAAGAUAAGAGAGAAAAGAUGGGUUUGAAUGGUCAAAGGGAGAGGGGAAAAACAAGUGGGUGACAGCCCACUAUUCGGUAGAAAGGGGGGCCAAUUCGCACGAAGGGGAGAGGGAAAGGGGAGAGGAGAGAGAGAAAAGAGAGAAAAAGAAGAGAGAGGGAGAGAAAAGAAAUAAUAUAAAAUAUAACACC